CUUGCGUUCUCACUCUUUUCGCGCAUCCAUAUGCCUGGUGCUCCAUCUAAAACACGUGGUGCGAUAAUUCGACUUGCACUUUUUGCCCUAUUGAUUUUCACUACAGCUGCUAUGAUGUUCUUGUAGAGUUUCACUUCCUGAUUAAGUAUUCGAAAAUCGAAAUACUCUACCUUCUUCAGUUUUCGAAAAAAAAAAACGAGUUUGUGUAAAAACCCAGAAUUUUCAACAAAAAUGAGUUCUUUGUCCAGCACGAAAACUCUACACAUGAUCAGAUUCUGAAGAAGAAACGACUUAAUAGAAGUGUCGGUACGAUUUACAUUUCGAGCAGGUAAAGAAAAUGCUUCACAAGCGUCAAGGACAGGUCGUAAAAGUGAAAGGGGCAAAGGGUAGCGGACUCGCAACGUGGGAGAGAAGACAGGUCAUAAAGACGAAUCGUAAAAUUGAUGAAAGGAAACGCGUGAAUGAGGCCUUUCAAGCUCGAACAUCUCCCGUUUCCUUUCUAAAGCAACUGCGCGAACUUGGAUGCGCAUUAAAAUGGUAGGGAUAAUAAUGCUUACUAUGGUGAAGCACACACACAGAAUUGCUUACUAUGGU